rnacentral:rRNA from 1 species
GACAGAGGGUGCAAACGUUGUUCGGAAUUACUGGGCGAAAGCGCGUGUAGGCACUCGGAAAGUCGGAUGUGAAAGCCCUGGGCUCAACCUAGGAAGUGCAUUCGAAACUUCCGAGCUGGAGUGCUGGAGAGGAAGGCGGAAUUCUCGGUGUAGAGGUGAAAUUCGUAGAUAUCGAGAGGAACACCGGUGGCGAAGGCGGCCUUCUGGAC